UGCCUCUCGGGAUCCCACCUGGAGAGUUUCCGGUACUUUACCGGUCUCGGAUACAGGAGGGAGAGUCAAGCAGAGGCCUACCCAUUCCAUUCCUAGCUCGGGCAGUGGCUAGCGAGAGGAAGGCAAUCUGCUACAAGU